rnacentral:lncRNA from 1 species
AUUCAGCAGGAGCUGUAAGUAAAACAGAUUCUCACAAACGGGGGUGUAAGGAUGGCAGACAAGCAGGAGCAUUUCUGAUGCGUGUGUGUAGCAGAGCGAUGGGCACAUGUUUUUGGUGCCAUAACUUAGAUCUGGAUCAGAGCCACCAUCAGACCCUCGGACAGGACAACCAGGCCUUCCAGCUCUCACCAGAACCUUUGUCUCCAGUCUGCUUGCUUGUUUGGGUAUCCGGUGGUGAGUCUGACUUCAACCAAAGUCCAGUGCUCUAGAUAAGUGUCCAUUGAAGUGCAGUGAGGAUAAAUUUUGAUUCUUAAGAUUCUGAGUAUACUCUUGAAGCAGGGUUAGAGUCCCAGACAAGCAAAGGCCAGUUAGAGUGCUGGAUUCCUCUGUUUGUAAUCAGCUGGGUUAGAGUCCCAGGCAAGCAGCAGUUUCUAAGUAGCCUUGUUAGAGUCCCAGGUAGACAAAGGCUGGGUUGGAGUCCUAGGCUUUUCUGUUCGUAAGAGGCUAGUCUCUGUAAGGAAUAGAGGCUGCGUUGGAGUCUCAAGUUUUUCUGUUCAUAAGUGUAGAGGUGCCUUUAGUCAAUAACAUGGGAGCUUCUCAAUCGCUGACUACGUGCUUUGCCGUUAUGGCCCUAAUACUGUCCGUUUUUGUUCUUAUUGGCAAAACUUUGCUAAAAACUCUCUUGAGCUCCCAUGGCCCCUCUUGGGCCCCUGGGAUAUGCCUGAAUUAGUCCACAUAUGAGGAGCACUAGAGCAAAAAGGAACAAGAAUCUCAGAUGCACAAUGGUCUGCUUUUUUCUCUUGGUAUGAAGAAGCUGAAAAAGGCUAAAUAAUUCAAACUUCAUUCAAACU